ACAAGUGAUGAAGGAAUGAAGCA
rnacentral:siRNA from 1 species